UACGGGGGGAGCAAGCGUUGUUCGGAUUUACUGGGCGUAAAGGGCGCGUAGGCGGUCAGCACAAGUCAGUUGUGAAAUCUCCGGGCUUAACUCGGAAAGGUCAACUGAUACUGCGCGGCUAGAGUGCAGAAGGGGCAACUGGAAUUCUCGGUGUAGCGGUGAAAUGCGUAGAUAUCGAGAGGAACACCUGCGGCGAAGGCGGGUUGCUGGGCUGACACUGACGCUGAGGCGCGAAAGCCAGGGGAGCAAACGGG
rnacentral:rRNA from 1 species